AAGUCGUAACAAGGUUUCCGUAGGUGAACCUGCGGAAGGAUCAUUACAAAUCCGUGUGUGGUAUGAGAGAUGUUGAUCUGUGAUGUUGGGUGUGUAUAGUGAGUGUGGUGUGAUAGAGACACGUAGUGACAGACAUUCAGACAGUGUCCAUUUGGAUACUUUGCUUGUCUGUGUCCAUGUGUGUCUAUCAUGCUAACUCUUAUAUCACCCAAAAACCCUAACCCUAGUGAUGCAUGUUGUCGAAUGAGAUUAUACACACACAGAAACAAACAGCACAACUUAUAACAAUGGAUCUCUAGGCUCUU
rnacentral:misc_RNA from 1 species